GAUCCAAGAACCGCAUGGUUCUUGGCUGAAAGAUGGCGUAAGCUAUCGCUUUUGGAUGGACCCGCGGCGUAUUAUCUAGUUGGUGAGGUAAUGGCUCACCAAGGCGAUGAUACGUAGCCGAACUGAGAGGUUGAUCGGCCACAUUGGGACUGAGACACGGCCCAAACUCCUACGGGAGGCAGCAGUAGGGAAUCUUCCACAAUGGACGCAAGUCUGAUGGAGCAACGCCGCGUGAGUGAAGAAGGCUUUCGGGUCGUAAAACUCUGUUGUUGGAGAAGAAUGGUCGGCAGAGUAACUGUUGUCGGCGUGACGGUAUCCAACCAGAAAGCCACGGCUAACUACGUGCCAGCAGCCGCGGUAAUACGUAGGUGGCAAGCGUUAUCCGGAUUUAUUGGGCGUAAAGCGAGCGCAGGCGGUUUUUUAAGUCUGAUGUGAAAGCCCUCGGCUUAACCGAGGAAGCGCAUCGGAAACUGGGAAACUUGAGUGCAGAAGAGGACAGUGGAACUCCAUGUGUAGCGGUGAAAUGCGUAGAUAUAUGGAAGAACACCAGUGGCGAAGGCGGCUGUCUGGUCUGUAACUGACGCUG
rnacentral:rRNA from 1 species